UGGAAACUUGGAAUUGAAUAUGCAAUAACAGGUAGAAAAGGACUGAGUACAAUCAUGUAAAAGCUGAAUUACUCCAAAUUGAUUUUUGCCUUCCCUUUUGCACUAAUUUUGUACCUAUUUGAUAUCACAGAACUGUGCUGACUUUGAAUGGGAAUUAAUGUCAAAGAUGCCCCUGAAGUCCAAAGCUGGAAUUCAGAGGAAAGACUUCUACAGAACGUUUUGACCUCUAUCAGCAGCAGACUGCCUCGAAGACCUGCAGGACAAAGAAUGGCUUUGCUAACUGAGCCUACUAUAUGCUCCCAGAAAAAACUGUGCUGGGACAGAAGACAGCAGAAGAUACCUGUAAAGAUGAUUACGAAUGGCAAGGUGGCUGAAUCCUGGCACAGGAGAUAGGACAGCGUGACCCCAACGAGCUACCUGAUAGACAUGGCAAAACAAAAACAUCCUUGAUUUCUUCUUGCAUGUUUUGGAGGACAUGAGCGAGUAGUGCCUGAAAUAAAGAGUCCGUUUCACAGGUAAUUCUUAUCAGUUUUUUUAUAGUAACAUGAUGCUCCCACUUUAUGAAAUGAAAUUUAACAUAAGGUUUGUCUGUUCACUCAGAAAUCAUGUUGUAUGUUGAAUUAUCUAGUUCAGGUUUCAUCCAG
ensembl:lncRNA